rnacentral:rRNA from 1 species
AGCGAACGCUGGCGGCAGGCUUAACACAUGCAAGUCGAGCGCCCCGCAAGGGGAGCGGCAGACGGGAGAGUAACACGUGGGAACGUACCUUUCAGUUCGGAACAACCAAGGGAAACUUUGGCUAAUACCGGAUACGCCCGUAAGGGGAAAGAUUUAUCGCUGAGAGAUCGGCCCGCGUCUGAUUAGCUAGUUGGUGGGGUAAUGGCCCACCAAGGCGACGAUCAGUAGCUGGUCUGAGAGGAUGAUCAGCCUCACUGGGACUGAGACACGGCCCAGACUCCUACGGGAGGCAGCAGUGGGGAAUAUUGGACAAUGGGCGCAAGCCUGAUCCAGCCAUGCCGCGUGGAUGAUGAAGGCCUUAGGGUUGUAAAGUCCUUUUAACGGGGAAGAUAAUGACGGUACCCGUAGAAUAAGCCCCGGCUAACUUCGUGCCAGCAGCCGCGGUAAUAC